rnacentral:misc_RNA from 1 species
GAAGACUCAUUUAGGAGCAUUUCCUUCUCAAAAUCAAUUGAUAAUUCAACUGAAUUUAGCAGUGCCAGGUUCUCAGACAUUGUUGGACCUCGAGAUGAGGAUGAUGAGGGCAAGGAGAGACCACUGGUUCUCCGGAACAAGCCACCAAGAUGGCACGAGCAGUUGCAAUGUUGGUGCCUAAAUUUUCGUGGAAGAGUGACUGUUGCCUCUGUCAAAAAUUUUCAACUGAUUGCUGCAACGCAACCUGCUGCUGGUGCACCAACACCAUCGCAGCCAGCUCCAUCUGACCAUGACAAGAUAAUUCUGCAGUUUGGUAA